ACAUUCUAGAAUAAAUAAGUGAAAUGGAAAAAAUCAAUAUUUAGGUAAUUCUAAGUAAGUUGUACAUUCAUUCUCUCAAGACCUUAAAUUUCCUCAUUUGUAAAAAACAAAACUCAGCUACAUGUUAGGAUGUUUUCAGGUCUAAAUAUACUUUUAUGAUGCUAAUUUUUCAAAUGUUAAUUAUUAACAGGUAGCAUAUUAAGAAGAGCAUUAUUCUUACAUUCCUUCUGAUAUGUAACUAAUUUGCUCAUAUAUUCACACACACAUACACAAACAUUUAUGAUAACUAAAGGCUCAAAGUAUUAACAUGUUAACCAACUAUCCUUGCUUUACUAUAUAACAUUAUAAAAAUUUGUAUUUUGUGCAUUUCAUUUAUCAUCAGCCAUUUGUGCAAUUAAUAAGUAUGAAAACUUCAAUCAUGAAAAGGGGUAGGUUUGGAUGGAAAACCUAAAUAAAAGUAGCUCAAUUUGACUUACAUAGCAUGAGUCCAAAUCUAAUGUUUCUACAGCAGCUCAGUGAACCAGGCUUCUCAAUAUAUAAAUAUAUUGGCUUUUUACUUUCACAGUUUUCACUUUCAGUUGUCUCUGCAUGAUAUCCAACAGAUUCACCAAAUGACUAAUGAACCUCUGGUUCUUGUUUCAUGCAACAAGAAGGAAGAGACAACAAAAGCCUUGUAGCUGGAGGCUGAAGGUAUGAGAAGCCCUCCUGGAGCUGAUUUAAAGGAUGAGCCCACCACCAGAAUGGACCCCCAGGCGCACCGCAUGCUGUGGAACACCAUCGUGAGCAUCCUCAGAGAAGGGAGAGCCAUGAUCCUCACCUCUCAGCCAAGAGAUGCCCAGGGUGGGGAAGGUGGGUGGGAGUCCCUGCCUACUGCCUCAUCUCCUCUCUCCUGUACCACAGCAUGGAGGAGUGUGAGGUGCUGUGUACCUGGCUGGGCAUCAUGGUGAAGGGCACCUUUUAGUGUCUGGGCACCAUUCAGCACCUCAAGUACAAGUAAGCAGGCCUAGUGUGUGUGGGGGUCCUUUUUGCUACCUUUUUUGGGGGUUGAACCAGGCCCUGUGUUCUCUGUGGAUGCUUGGGAGGAUCCUGCUGCCCCUCAUCCCACCUGCUAGUGGUAGCAGAAAGCAUUGUGCUAAUAAGAAGUUCCUCUUUAUUGGGCUAAUUGCUUGUGGUUGAAACACUGAUUCAAUGUCACCACUUAUCCUGACAGAUCCAAGACCUCCCUGUCCUAUUUCAUGACAGUCCACAACCAAUAUAAAAAUGAUUAGGAGACCAAACAACUUGGAAACCAAAUUUCUUCUCUAGAAUAACAUGUGGUUAUUUUUCAAACCAAAGUUUGAAAAAUAAACACAUGUUACAAUAAGAAACUAAGGAUGCCAGUACUCUUGAGUAGAAUUAUCCUGUGCUCAUAAAUUGUUGUAAAUAAUUCCUUAUUUACAGUUUGUGUGCUGAAGCUAACAACCAGUUAAAACAAGAUUAUCAUAAUAUUGCCAGGUUCCCUUGCAUUCUGACAUGCCUUCUAACCUGGGAAAGAGUGGGUUUAUAGUUGUGGAUUUUAUUUAACACACUUAUCAAGAGCCCAGAAUCUAAAACCAUGAGCUAGGGACAUCACAGAAUCUACCUUACCUAUGCUGAUGUGCUUAAUCUUAAGGAUCUGUGAAAGUGUAUUUCAGUGAAAACAUUCAGGCAGAAAGGUCUAGUAGGUGAACUACAUUUGGCAAAUGGAUAUUUGACCCUGAUUUCUUGAGCAAUUACAGUCUCCAAGCUGGAUAUUUAUGGGGACACCAGCAUGUGUCAGCAAUUCCUUGUGCCCAACUGCUGAGGGAUGACCCCCUACUCCUUUGCCUCUCAUUCCUCAAGAUCUCCAUGAUUGAGGAGAUGAGGAGGUAUGUCCCCAUGUGGAGGGACAUCAAUUCUCUGGAGCUGAAAGAUGGAUAGAGAAUGGCCCUAGGUCAAGGAGGGAGCUUACAGUGAUAAUGAACAUUAUACACCAUGACCUAGCCAUGUAUACAUGCCAGAUGGCCAUAAGCAUACUCUCUGCUUCAUCCUUCAUCCUCCCUGUGAAAGUUACCAGCAACCUGGUGAAGGGAGGAAGAAGGCACUAAUGGCCCUGUUUCUGGAAAUUUCCUCAGGGAAGUGCUGUCUUCCCAGGCCUUUGCUUCCCCAUGGCUGGUGUCCUGAAGGCCAGACAGCCCUUGCCACCCUAUGCAGUAUGCACUGGUCACAUGUCUUUAUGGUUGGGCCUGGGAUCUCCACAGGGCUACAACCACCUUUGACUUCAGAAAGUACAUUUGUGCCACUUUACCACACAUAUUCAGACCUUUAAAAACUGGUACCAAAAAGUUUCUCUAAGGACUACUACAUUUUUUUUCUCCUAGUUUUAAACAUGCACAGAUGGCCAAUGGUGUGGGCCUAACCCCAGUGUGCAGGAUGAGUCUACUCCUUAUUUUGGGAUUGCCUUUGACCCAUCCACUGACAGGCCUGAACUGCACUGUGCAUCCCUUAGGUUUGGAGAUGGCUACAUUAUCACAAUGAAAAUCAAAUCCCCAAAGGAUGACUUGUGUCCUGACCUGAAUCAGGUGGAACAGUUCUUCCAGAGGACUCCCCUGGCAGUGUGCAGAGGGAGAGGCAUUACAACAUGCUCCAGUUCCAGGUCUCUUCCUCCUCUCUGGCCAGGAUCUUCCAGCUGCUCCUCUCCCACAAGGACAGCCUGUUGAUCGAGGAAUACUCAGUCACACAGACCACAGUGAAUCAGGCAAGUCCACUCCAGUGUACCAGGCACAGGAGAGAAGACUGUGCAAAGACAAAUGUGCCAGAAUGCCAUCAUGGGCUGCAGUUGACACAAGAGGCAGGCAUGACAUUCCCGAUUUUAACACACUCUUGUCUCUGUCCAUUAGGAUAAAUCUUGAUAAAUCAGAAAUUGUUUUCUAACAA